GAUGAACGCUGGCGGCGUGCCUAAUACAUGCAAGUCGAGCGAACAGACGAGUAGCUUGCUUCUCUGAUGUUAGCGGCGGACGGGUGAGUAACACGUGGAUAACCUACCUAUAAGACUGGGAUAACUUCGGGAAACCGGAGCUAAUACCGGAUAAUAUUUUGAACCGCAUGGUUCAACAGUGAAAGACGGUCUUGCUGUCACUUAUAGAUGGAUCCUCGCUGCAUUAGCUAGUUGGUAAGGUAACGGCUUACCAAGGCAACGAUGCAUAGCCGACCUGAGAGGGUGAUCGGCCACACUGGAACUGAGACACGGUCCAGACUCCUACGGGAGGCAGCAGUAGGGAAUCUUCCGCAAUGGGCGAAAGCCUGACGGAGCAACGCCGCGUGAGUGAUGAAGGUCUUCGGAUCGUAAAACUCUGUUAUUAGGGAAGAACAUAUGUGUAAGUAACUGUGCACAUCUUGACGGUACCUAAUCAGAAAGCCACGGCUAACUACGUG
rnacentral:rRNA from 1 species